rnacentral:rRNA from 1 species
UAGGGAAUUUUCCACAAUGGGGGCAACCCUGAUGGAGCAAUGCCGCGUGAGAGAAGACGGCCUUCGGGUUGUAAAUCUCUGUUAUAAGGGAGGAAAACUGCAAAGAGGAAAUGCUUUGCACUUGACAUUACCUUAUCAGAAAGCCACGGCUAACUACGUGCCAGCAGCCGCGGUAAUACGUAGGUGGCGAGCGUUAUCCGGAAUUAUUGGGCGUAAAGGGUGCGCAGGUGGUUGUGUAAGAUUGUGGUUAAAGAAUGGGGCUCAACUCCAUAAUGCCAUGAUAACUGCACGACUAGAGUACAGAAGAGGAUAGCGGAAUUUCUAGUGUAGCGGUGGAAUGCGUAGAUAUUAGAAGGAACACCAGUGGCGAAGGCGGCUAUCUGGUCUGUAACUGACACUGAGGCACGAAAGCGUGGGGAGCAAAUAGG